rnacentral:tRNA from 1 species
CGCGGAGUGGAGGAAAGGUACCUCGGGAGGCUCAUAACCUCCAGAAGCCGGUUCGAUUCCGGCCUCCGCAACAA